UACGUAGGGAGCAAGCGUUGUUCGGAAUUACUGGGCGUAAAGAGUGUGUAGGCGGUGCUCUAAGUCUGUUGUGAAAUCUCCCGGCUUAACCGGGAGGGUGCGGCGGAAACUGGAGUGCUUGAGGGUGGGAGAGGUAAGCGGAAUUCCUGGUGUAGCGGUGAAAUGCGUAGAUAUCAGGAGGAACACCUGUGGUGUAGACAGCUUACUGGACCACUUCUGACGCUGAGGAGCGAAAGCCAGGGGGAGCAAACAGG
rnacentral:rRNA from 1 species